rnacentral:rRNA from 1 species
UACGUAGGGUGCAAGCGUUAAUCGGAAUUACUGGGCGUAAAGCGUGCGCAGGCGGUGAUGUAAGACAGAUGUGAAAUCCCCGGGCUCAACCUGGGAACUGCAUUUGUGACUGCAUCGCUGGAGUGCGGCAGAGGGGGGAUGGAAUUCCGCGUGUAGCAGUGAAAUGCGUAGAUAUGUGGAGGAACAUCAGUGGCGAAAGCGACUUCCUGGACCAAUACUGACGCUCAUGUGCGAAAGCGUGG